rnacentral:rRNA from 1 species
UACAGAGGGUGCGAGCGUUAAUCGGAAUUACUGGGCGUAAAGCGCGCGUAGGCGGCUUUGCAAGUCGGGUGUGAAAUCCCCAGGCUUAACCUGGGAACUGCAUUCGAGACUGCAUUGCUAGAGUAUGGGAGAGGGAAGUGGAAUUUCCGGUGUAGCGGUGAAAUGCGUAGAUAUCGGGAGGAACAUCAGUGGCGAAGGCGGCUUCCUGGCCCAAUACUGACACUCAGGUGCGACAGCGUGGGGGAGCAAACAGG